UACAGAGGGUGCGAGCGUUGUUCGGAAUUACUGGGCGUAAAGCGCGUGUAGGCGGUCUACUAAGUCAGAUGUGAAAUCCUGGGGCUUAACUCCAGAAGUGCAUUUGAAACUAUUAGGCUAGAGUGAUGUAGAGGAUGGCGGAAUACCCAGUGUAGAGGUGAAAUUCGUAGAGAUUGGGUAGAACACCGGUGGCGAAGGCGGCCAUCUGGGCAUUAACUGACGCUGAGACGCGAAAGCGUGGGGAGCAAACAGG
rnacentral:rRNA from 1 species